CCGUGUUUAUUUCUGUACUCUUUAUUUUCUGUCACAGUUGUUCUGUCGUGGAAAUGUCUGUCGUAGAAAGUUUGGAGGUGGAUUCGUACAGCG